rnacentral:rRNA from 1 species
GAUGAACGCUGGCGGCAUGCCUAAUACAUGCAAGUCGAACGAGAGGAAGGAAAGCUUGCUUUUCUGAAUCUAGUGGCGAACGGGUGAGUAACACGUAGGUAACCUGCCCAUGUGCCCGGGAUAACUUCUGGAAACGGAUGCUAAAACCGGAUAGGUAGCAGACAAGCAUUUGACUGCUAUUAAAGUGGCUAAGGCCAUGAACAUGGAUGGACCUGCGGUGCAUUAGCUAGUUGGUGAGGUAACGGCCCACCAAGGCGACGAUGCAUAGCCGGCGUGAGAGGGCGGACGCCCACAGUGGGACUGAGACACGGCCCAAACUCCUACGGGAGGCAGCAGUAGGGAAUUUUCGUCAAUGGGGGGAACCCUGAACGAGCAAUGCCGCGUGAGUGAGGAGGGUCUUCGGAUCGUAAAGCUCUGUUGUAAGAGAAAAACGACAUUCAUAGGGAAUGAUGAGUGAGUGAUGGUAUCUUACCAGAAAGUCACGGCUAACUACGUGCCAGCAGCCGCGGUAA